ACGACUCUCGGCAACGGAUAUCUCGGCUCUCGCAUCGAUGAAGAACGCAGCGAAAUGCGAUACUUGGUGUGAAUUGCAGAAUCCCGUGAACCAUCGAGUUUUUGAACGCAAGUUGCGCCCAAAGCCUUUCUGGCUGAGGGCACGUCUGCCUGGGUGUCACGCAACAU
rnacentral:rRNA from 4 species